GGGGGUGUCACGGUUUCGACUGAGAAAUCAAGUAUUGAUUGCAUGCGGAGGAUAUCGGUUGGCCUCCUAAAUCAUCCGAUAAAACAAUAAAUGCCAACACAAAAGGCGAAGUAAUUUAUGGUGUAGAUUUUGCUGGUGAAACUAGACAACUAGCUUUAGCUGCUUAAUUUAUCUCCGUGAAUUACUCGCUGUGUACAACCUAGCGGUUGUCACAGCACAGCAGUCCAAGAUUGGACCAAGGGUCGAGGAGUCUGCUGUAAGAUUACUUGGUGUGGAACAAAAUCCGUCGCUUCUAGGAUUGAAUUCCGAGAUCAAAUGAAGCAAGUUAGCAACAGUGGCCGUGUUCUCCAACGUAGCUGACUUAUUAAAAGAACACUAAGCAUGUAGUGGUUAAUAUGUAGUUUGCCCAGGACGAGAGUUCAAUUCUCUCCACCUCCAA
rnacentral:tmRNA from 1 species